rfam:Gossypium raimondii Chr09_contig_1778, whole genome shotgun sequence.
UGUUAAAAUUUUCAUCCAUUUGUACUAUUAAAAACUAACAUGGCUGACGGAAUAAUAAACAGUGACAUGUGGUGUGCCGUGUGUACCUCAUGUUGACAUACAAUGACCAGUUUUUAACAGCAAAAACGAUGUAAAAUUUAACA